AAGGCUAGCCUGUUUUAUCUCUCGCGAUAACCAAGGCUUAGAAUCCUUUUUAGUGAAAAUCCUCUUGAGAGGACAGCAUUCGGUAAAUGCUUCUUUAAUGAUGUUGACAAAUAUGUCAAAGCAGAAAUCUAUAUCAAAAUUGACAUAAACAUCUUCAAACUUGUGUUUUUAAUUAGAACAUUAAGUUCAUCUAAAUUUUUUUGAGUAACCUGCCUAACAUCGCAAGAACUAAUACUUUUCAUUGAGUAGUAAUAAUCAAGGGAAACCACCUUAUGAUCAGCAAGAUGAGUUUCAAAAAUUCUAGUUUUACAUGAUUUUAGAUCUACAUCUGUCAAAAUAUAAUCUAGCAAGGAAAUUGAUGUUUUACCAGAAAUAUCAGUAAAUAUUCGUGUUGGUUCGAAUGAUGUGAUAUUCAAAUUAAAGCAUUGUAGAAAGUCACUGAAUCGAGAUUUCGGUCUUGAGUCCAUGCUGUUGAAAUCUACAUUCAUAUCUUCACACAAAAAUAGAUUCACUUGGAGUUCUGAUUGGGUACUUUUUGCCGGAAAAAAUGACGGACAUUUGCAUGUUGAGGCCAAUUGGAAGGUGAGACGGCUUUAGAGUACUCACUUGCUGGAAUCAUGACCUUAAAAGAGGAAUAACUCUCGGAAAAUCGUGAUUUCAAAGGGUACUUGGGUCCAUUCCGACAUCUCGUAAUGUUGUUUUUUUGCCCUGAGGUAGGGGGAAAGCUAAUGCCUUCUCCAGCAGCGAUGAAAGUCGUAAUGUUGAUUUGCUAUGAAGUAUAAUUGUAUCUUCUUGACCAUUUGUCGACAGUUAUCCCAGAAACUCCAAAUAUUUGCCUGGGUUUUCUAAAUACGGAACCAUACCAUACCAUAUCAUUCGAUAGCAUGGUAACCGGUCACAAGAUCCGAGCUCCCACAAAUC